GCGCUAAUAGCUCAGUUGGGAGAGCGUCAGACUGAAGCAAUUCGGUCCUAUCCAAUAUCCGGGGUAAUCUGAAGGUCACCCGUUCAAUCCGGGUUUGGCGCA
rnacentral:tRNA from 1 species